rnacentral:rRNA from 1 species
AUUGAACGCUGGCGGCAUGCUUUACACAUGCAAGUCGAACGGUAACAGGUUAAGCUGACGAGUGGCGAACGGGUGAGUAAUGCAUCGGAACGUGCCCGAUCGUGGGGGAUAACGCAGCGAAAGCUGCGCUAAUACCGCAUACGAUCUGAGGAUGGAAGCGGGGGACCGUAAGGCCUCGCGCGAUCGGAGCGGCCGAUGUCAGAUUAGGUAGUUGGUGGGGUAAAGGCUCACCAAGCCAACGAUCUGUAGCUGGUCUGAGAGGACGACCAGCCACACUGGAACUGAGACACGGUCCAGACUCCUACGGGAGGCAGCAGUGGGGAAUUUUGGACAAUGGGCGAAAGCCUGAUCCAGCCAUUCCGCGUGCAGGAUGAAGGCCCUCGGGUUGUAAACUGCUUUUGUACAGAACGAAAAGGUUUCUACUAAUACUAGGAGCUCAUGACGGUACUGUAAGAAUAAGCACCGGCUAACUACGUGCCAGCAGCCGCGGUAA